AUCCAGAGGAUGAGUUCCAAAUAGGACGAAACACACGUCAAACUGGAU
rnacentral:hammerhead_ribozyme from 1 species